UACGAAGGGGGCUAGCGUUGCUCGGAAUUACUGGGCGUAAAGCGCACGUAGGCGGCUUUCUAAGUCGGGGGUGAAAUCCUGGAGCUCAACUCCAGAACUGCCUUCGAUACUGGAAAGCUCGAGUCCGGGAGAGGUGAGUGGAACUGCGAAGUGUAGAGGUGAAAUUCGUAGAUAUUCGCAAGAACACCAGUGGCGAAGGCGGCUCACUGGCCCGGUACUGACGCUGAGGUGCGAAAGCGGAUGGG
rnacentral:rRNA from 1 species